GCAGUGGUGGCUCAGUGGUAGAAUUCUCACCUUCCAUGUGGGAGAACUGAGUUCAAUUCCUGGCCAAUGCA
rnacentral:tRNA from 1 species